UGGGGCACAAUAGCAAGGGCAGUAAAACCAGCCAUGUUUUCUCGCAGCAAUAAUCCCAUUCCAAGUCCCACAUUUCUUUCCAACAUUUUAGUAAGAAAAAGAAAAGGCAAGGAUCUAAAUUUAUUCCCUGGUGGGACCUGGAGACAGCACCAAAAACCAGUUCAAGGGUCCAUUUUGACAGCAAAAUUCAAGCUCACAGCUAGUGCACACACAAAAUGCAAGAGGAUUCCCCUAGGCAGAAACAAUACCUUCUACAG
rnacentral:lncRNA from 1 species